rnacentral:rRNA from 1 species
AUUGAACGCUGGCGGCAGGCCUAACACAUGCAAGUCGAGCGGAUGAAGGGAGCUUGCUCCUGGAUUCAGCGGCGGACGGGUGAGUAAUGCCUAGGAAUCUGCCUGGUAGUGGGGGAUAACGUCCUGAAACGGGCGCUAAUACCGCAUACGUCCUGAGGGAGAAAGUGGGGGAUCUUCGGACCUCACGCUAUCAGAUGAGCCUAGGUCGGAUUAGCUAGUUGGUGGGGUAAAGGCCUACCAGGGCGACGAUCGGUAACUGGCCUGAGAGGAUGAGAGGUCACACUGGACGGGAGACGCGGUCCAGGCGCCUGCGGGGCGCAGCAGUGUGGAAUAUUGGACAGUGGGCGAGAACCUGAUCCAGCCGUGCCGCGUCUGUGAAGAAGGUCUUCGGAUUGUAAAGCACUUUAAGUUGGGAGGAAGGGCAGUAAGUUAAUACCUUGCUGUUUUGACGUUACCAACAGAAUAAGCACCGGCUAACUUCGUG